AUUGAACGCUGGCGGCAUGCCUUACACAUGCAAGUCGAACGGUAACAGGUCUUCGGAUGCUGACGAGUGGCGAACGGGUGAGUAAUACAUCGGAACGUGCCUAGUAGUGGGGGAUAACUACUCGAAAGAGUGGCUAAUACCGCAUGAGAUCUACGGAUGAAAGCAGGGGAUCGCAAGACCUUGUGCUACUAGAGCGGCCGAUGGCAGAUUAGGUAGUUGGUGGGAUAAAAGCUUACCAAGCCGACGAUCUGUAGCUGGUCUGAGAGGACGAUCAGCCACACGGGGACUGAGACACGGCCCAGACUCCUACGGGAGGCAGCAGUGGGGAAUUUUGGACAAUGGGCGAAAGCCUGGUCCAGCAAUGCCGCGUGCAGGAUGAAGGCCUUCGGGUUGUAAACUGCUUUUGUACGGAACGAAAAGCUCUGGGUUAAUACCCUGGGGUCAUGACGGUACCGUAAGAAUAAGCACCGGCUAACUACGUGCCAGCCGCCGCGGUAACAC
rnacentral:rRNA from 1 species